UCAAAAUUAAGCCGAACCGAGUCCAAAAUGGGUCCAAGGUCCAAAACCCACACCCCAAUUAUGAGUUUCAGCUCAUAACAUUUCCCUUCAUUUCCUCAUUCACAUUUCAAGGCCAGAAGAGGAAGAAGGUGAGGAACAAACCCUUGUCUUCCAUUAAAUCUACCAUAACUUCUUGCUCCGAGCUCCGAUCGCCGCACCAUUUGCGGCCACGCGUCCACUGUGUUGAGCUCUACGAGUCUAUCAGAACAAUUUCAUAGCUUUCGGAACUUGUUGGAUUUAGUUCGUUUGGUCCGUGGGUACGGUGUGUAUGUAUUCAUGAAAUACUCAAGAAAUACUCAAGAAAACCAAAUACCCCACAGGCAAAGAGCUGAUUGAUGCUUCCAAAACUCCAACUGAACAAUUUGUUCCAGUUCCUAUAUUGGAACAUUUACCAACUACAUCCUACAUUUUUCAAGAUCUUGGUGAUGACAAACAAACGGAGAAAAGUGUUGAGGGGCCACUAAAAGACUCGACAGAUGCUGCUGAGAGUAAAAGAGAACAAGUUAUAGAUGUUCCUCAACAUCCACUUCUUUCACAUGUAACAUCUGGCAUUGAGGAGGAAAAGGAGAAAACUAUUGACCCAGCAACUAAAGAUCGGACAGAUGCUGUUGAGAGAUGAGUUCUCUAAUUUUAUGUGCUAGAAUAGCUCAUUGUUGUUCUGCACUUUGUAUUUUAUGUGUUGAGCAGCAAAAGUUCUUUUGUGUAACCAAAUCCCUUUGUUUUUGUAUAGUUUGGCUAAAGUUAAUCAAGCAGAUAUUGUUGUUGAGUUGCGGAUGGUUGAAAAUAUUGCAAUAGAGAAAAAUUUAGAUUUCUCAUGUCUGUCCUUUGACCUUGGAAUUGAUACACAAUCAUCAACUGAGAAAGUAGCUCUGACACAAGUAGGUCAACAAUGAAUAGAGCCUACUGAGUCUGUUGUUGUCAAUCAAGUGAGUGUUGAGGGGCCACUAAAAGACUAGACAAAUGCUGUUGAGAGGUGAGUUUCCUUGUUUGUGUGCUAGAAUAGCUAAUUGUUAUACUAUACUUUGUAUUCUAUGUGUUGAGAACCAAAUAUUGUGUUCUUACAUAUUCUAUAUUUUCUUACACACUUUAUAUAUACUGUUCAAAACUAACAUAAUCAAUGUUUCAAUAAAAGAAAACAAGUUAUAGAUAUUUCUCAACAUCCACACCUUCCACAUGUAACAUCUUGCAUUUAGGAGGAAAAGGAGAAAACUAUUGACCCAGCAACUAAAGAUAAGACAGAUGGUGUUGAGAGAUAAGUUCUCUAAUUUUAUAUGCUAGAAUAGCUAAUUGUUGUGCUGUACUUUGUAUUUUAUGUGUUGAGCAGCAAAAUUUCUUUUGUGUAACCAAAUUUACUUGCUUCUUGUAUAGUUUGACUAAAGCUAAUCAAGCAGAUAUUGCUGCUGAGUUGUGAAUGGUUGAAAAUAUUGCAAUGGAAAAAGAUUUAGAUUUCGCAUGUCCGUCAUUUGACCUUAUGAUUGAUACACAGCCUGCUGAAUCCGUUGUUGUCAAUUAGGUGAUGGAUUUAGGCGUUGAAGCUGCACUAAAGUUUUCUGAACUCCCAACGCCAUCCAUGAUAGCACAACCAACACCGGUGGAAUGGGUCCUAGAUAAGCUUAAGAGUUCAGCAAAAGAAAAUCAAGUUUUCAAACCUAUAUUAGACGUAAUAGAUCAGCUUUACUAUUGAGCAACCAAUGAAAUUGCUUUCCAGAACAAUGAGGUCGAAGAGCUUUUCAAGCUAACUGAUCCCAAUUUCUACUAGGGUAUAGAGAUCAUUUCAUGUCAAUAUCCCCUAGAACAUACAUUGAUCAAUUCAUAAGACUCUUUCUUGUUUUCUUGAUAUAUUUCAAUCUUAUUUAAAUGUAUCUUUUCAUAUUAAAUGCUAUAUAACUACAUUUAUCUACUUUCUUUGCAUAGUUUGUUGGGGCAUUAUGUUUCAUCUUGAACACCAAAAAUAUUAAAAGGUUUACAGACCAAAUAUACUGCAUACCCCUAUUCAUAAUGGUAUAUUACUCAAGACUUUCUGUGUUGUGCUCUAUCAUUCAUGGGCUUUACUAUCUUAUUUAUGUAUUGUAUUCUAUUAUUAAUGUGUUUAUGUUUAUUAUCAUAAUACGCAGUGAUAAGCAAUUUAUAAGGUGAUUAUAUAAGAUAGUAAAUAGCUUAUCACUGUGUAUUAUGAAUAAUAAGCAUCAACACAUUAAUAUUAGAAUACAACACAUAAAUAAGAUAGUAAAACACAUGAAUGAUAGAGCACAACACAGAAAGUCUUGAGUAACAUAUAAUUAUGAAUGGGGGUACGCAGUAUAUUUGGUCUGUAAACCUCUUAAUAUAAUGUUUUUGGUGUUCAAGAUUAAACACAAUGUCCUAACAAACUGUGUGCAAAGAAAGUAGAGAAAUGUAGUUAUAUAGCAUUUAAUAUGAAAAAAUACAUUCAAAUAAGAUUGAAAUAUAUCAAGGAAAUAAGAAAGAGUCUUACAAAUUGUUCAAUGUAUGUUUCAGGGGAUAUUGACAUGAAAUGAUCUCUAUAUCCCACAAAGUAGCAGUUGAGAUCAUUUAGCUUGAAAAACUCUUCGACCUCAUUGUUCUGGAAAGUAAUUUCAUUGGUUGCCCAGUAAUUAGGCUAAUCUAUUAGGUCUGAUGUACGUGUGAAAACUUGAUUUUCUUUUGUUGGAUUCUUAAGCUUAUCUAGGACCCGUUCCAUCGGUGCUGGUUAUGUUGUCAUGGAUGGCGUUGAGAGUUUGACAAACUUUAGUGUAGCUUUAACGCCUGAAUCCAUUGCCUGAUUGAUAACAACAAAUUCAGCAGGCUGUGUAUCAAUCCCAAGGUCAAAGGGAAGACAUUAGAAAUCUAAAUCUUUUUCCGUUGCAAUAUUUUCAACCAUCCGCAACUUAACAACAAUAUCUGCUUAAUUAGCUUUAGCCAAACUAUACAAAAAAAACGAAGGAGUUUGGUUACACAAAAGAAAUUUUGCUGCUCGGCACAAAAUAUAAAGUACAACACAACAAAUAACUAUUCUAGCACAUAAAAUUAGAGAACUCACCUUUCAGCAGCAUUUGUCUGAUCUUUAGUUGCUGGGUCAACAAUUUUCUCCUUUUCUUCCUUAAUGCCAGAUAUUACAUGUGAAAGGGAUGGAUGUUGAGAACAUUGAUAACUUUUUCUCUUUUACUGAAACAUCAAUUAUAUUAGUUUUUAUCAAUGUAUAUAAAAGUGAGUAAGAAAACAUGGAAGCACACAAUAUUUAGUUCUCAACAUAUAAAAUACAAAAUACAGCGCAAUAAUUAGCUAUUCUUGCACACAAACAAAGAAACUCACCUUUCAACAGCAUCUGUCUAGUCUUUUACUAGCCCAUCAACACAUUUCUCUGUUUGUUUGUCUAGGGAGCUUCCAAGAAUCAUAGUGUGGCUAUUGAAGAAAAAUAUGUCAAUAUUAACAUGUUAGAUAGAAACACUAGUAAGAUAGGAUAACUUACGUACUAGAGUCAAACAUUCUUGUGCGAUUGGAAGAUGUAUCACCAAGAUCUUGAAAACUGCAAAACUUAGAAUUUUAUUAAAGAAUGACAAAUAAAUUCUCAAGGAAUUUCAAAUCAUA